rnacentral:rRNA from 1 species
UACGGGGGGGGGCAAGCGUUGUUCGGAAUUACUGGGCGUAAAGGGCUCGUAGGCGGUUUGGUAAGUGGGAUGUGAAAUGCCUCGGCUCACCCGAGGACCGGCAUCCCAAACUGCCAAGCUUGAGUAUGGGAGAGGAUGUGGGAAUUCCUGGUGUAGCGGUGAAAUGCGUAGAUAUCAGGAGGAACACCGGUGGCGAAGGCGCACAUCUGGCCCAAUACUGACGCUGAGGCGCGAAAGCUAGGGGAGCAAACGGG